rnacentral:rRNA from 1 species
GACGAACGUUGGCGGCGUGCUUAAUACAUGCAAGUCAACUGAAGCAGUGGUAGCAAUAUCGCUGUGGAGGUGGCGCACGGGUGAGUAACACGUAGGUAAUCUGCCUUCAGGUCUGGCAUAACUCCGGGAAACCGGGGCUAAUAGCAGAUGAUGCAGCGGCUCGACAUCGAGACAGUUGUUAAAGCUAUGGCGCCUGAAGAUGAGCCUGCGUCUGAUUAGCUAGUUGGCGGGUUAACGGCCCACCAAGGCAACGAUCAGUAGCUGGGCUGAGAGGAUGAUCAGCCACACUGGAACGGAGACACGGUCCAGACUCCUACGGGAGGCAGAAGUAAGGAAUAUUGCUCAAUGGGAGAAAUCCUGAAGCAGCAACGCCGCGUGAGGGACGAAGGGCUUUGGCUUGUAAACCUCUGUAGUGAGAGAAAAAAAUCCCAAUCUGUGGGACAUGAUGGUAGCUCAAAAGUAAGCCCCGGCUAACUACGUG